CCUACGGGAGGCAGCAGUGGGGAAUAUUGCGCAAUGGGCGAAAGCCUGACGCAGCGACGCCGCGUGAGGGAUGAAGGUCUUCGGAACGUAAACCUCUGUCAGCAGGGAAGAACGGUCACUGUGCUAAUCAGCAGUGAAUUGACGGUACCUGCAAAGGAAGCACCGGCUAACUCCGGGCCAGCAGCCGCGGUAAUACGGAGGGUGCGAGCGUUAAUCGGAAUUACUGGGCGUAAAGCGCUCGUAGGCGGUAUGUCAAGUCAAGGGUGAAAUCCCCGCGCUCAACGUGGGAACUGCCUUUGAAACUGGCAAACUGGAGUGUGUGAGAGGAUAGUGGAAUUCCAGGUGUAGGAGUGAAAUGCGUAGAUAUCUGGAGGAACAUCAGUGGCGAAGGCGACUAUCUGGCACAUAACUGACGCUGAGGAGCGAAAGCGUGGGUAGCAAACAGGAUUAGAUACCCUUGUAGUC
rnacentral:rRNA from 1 species